UACGUAGGGCGCAAGCGUUGUCCGGAAUUAUUGGGCGUAAAGAGCUCGUAGGCGGCUUGUCGCGUCGACUGUGAAAUCCCGCGGCUCAACUGCGGGUCUGCAGUCGAUACGGGCAGGCUAGAGUUCGGUAGGGGAGACUGGAAUUCCUGGUGUAGCGGUGAAAUGCGCAGAUAUCGGGAGGAACACCAGUGGCGAAGGCGGUUGCCUGGAGCUUUGCUGACGCUGAGGCGCGAAAGCGUGGGGAGCGAUCCGG
rnacentral:rRNA from 1 species